rnacentral:rRNA from 1 species
UACCAGCUCUCCGAGUGGUAGGGAUGAUUAUUGGGCUUAAAGCGUCCGUAGCCGGCUUAGCAAGUUUCCUGUUAAAUUCGGCGACCUAAUCGUUGAGCCGCGGGAAAUACUACUAGGCUAGGAGGCGGGAGAGGUCGACGGUACUUCUGGGGUAGGGGUGAAAUCCUAUAAUCCCGGGAGGACCACCGGUGGCGAAGGCUGUCGACUAGAACGCGCUCGACGGUGAGGGACGAAAGCUGGGGGAGCGAACCGGAUUAGAUACCCGGGUAGUCCCAGCUGUAAACGAUGCGGGCUAGGUGUUGGGGUGGCUACGUGCCACUUCAGUGCCGCAGGGAAGCCAUUAAGCCCGCCGCCUGGGGAGUACGGCCGCAAGGCUGAAACUUAAAGGAAUUGGCGGGGAGCACCACAAGGCGUGAAGCUUGCGGUUC